GAUGAACGCUGGCGGCGUGCCUAAUACAUGCAAGUCGAGCGAAAAGACGAGGAGCUUGUUCCGCUGACGUUAGCGGCGGACGGGUGAGUAACACGUGGAAAACCUACCUAUAAGACUGGUAUAACUUCGGGAAACCGGAGCUAAUACCGGAGAAUAUCUUGAACCGCAUGGUUCAUUAGUGAAAGACGGCGUUGCGGUCACUAAUCGAUGGAUCCGCGCCGCAUUAGCUAGUUGGUAGGGUAACGGCUUACAAAGGCUACGAUGCGUAACCGACCUAAGAGGGUGCUGGGCCACACUGGAACUGAGACACGGUCCAGACUCCUACGGGAGGCAGCAGAAGGGAAUCUUCCGCAAUGGGCGGGAGCCUGACGGAGCAGCGCCGCGUGAGUGAUGAAGGUCUUCGGAUCGUAAAACUCUGUUAUUAGGGAAGAACAAAUGUGGAAGUAACUAUACACGUCUUGACGGUACCUAAUCAGAAAGCCACGGCUAACUACGUG
rnacentral:rRNA from 1 species